AGUUCCAAAUAGAAGGCUACUUCCACCAGGAGAAAAAACAGUUAGUCUGUUGAACUGGAAAUUAAGACUGCUGUCUGUCGACUUUAGGUUGCUCAGGCCUUUGACUAAACAAGCAAAGAGAGAAGUCAAGUGCAGGAUGGGGUAAUCCAGAGCACCCUGGGGAAACUGGACUGCCACUCCACAAUGAAAACUAUUGUGAAAACCUUUCAACAUCUAAUAUCCUGUGGAGUCCUGUAGGAUUUUUAUUCUAGACUAAAAAAACACCUAUUUGGUUAAUGUACUCUGAAGGAUGGAUUUGGAGAUGAACGAAUUAUGUGAAUAGGUGUGUAUGUUUUCCUGCAAGUACCUAUAACUGCCACCUCCUCUCUGGCCACUUCUCAGAAUGAUUUUGCAGAUCAGCACUUACACCAAGGAGAUCUUGAAGAUCAACAAUUUGGUCAGCAAGUCACUUCCUCUGGCCAACAUACUGUCUUCAUGGGUAAAGCUCUUCAGCCAAGGGUCUGAGAAGAGCAGAGCAGCAAGACAGAAGAAGCUGAGAUUUUUACAUGUGAUGAUAGAAGGAAACAUCUAUCUUAAGUUAUUGCAAUAUUUGGUUUUCUGAAAUCCAUACACGAACUUGACCUGAGUAAUACACUUCUGUUUUCCCAAUGCCAAAACAUACUGAUUCUUCAAUAAAUAUCUGCCAAAUAAGAUUACAAUA